rnacentral:rRNA from 1 species
AUCUACCCUUUUCUGGAGAAUAGCCCUUAGAAAUGAGGAUUAAUACUCCAUAGUAUAACAAUUUCGCAUGUUAUUGUUAUUAAAGCUUCGGCGGAAAAGGAUGAGCAUGCGUCCCAUUAGUUUGUUGGUGAGGUAACGGCUCACCAAGACUGCGAUGGGUAGGGGGCCUGAGAGGGUUAUCCCCCACACUGGUACUGAGACACGGACCAGACUCCUACGGGAGGCAGCAGUGAGGAAUAUUGGUCAAUGGACGAAAGUCUGAACCAGCCAUGCCGCGUGCAGGAUGACUGCCCUACGGUUGUAAACUGCUUUUAUACAGGAAGAAACCUCUUUACGUGUAAAGAGCUGACGGUACUGUAAGAAUAAGGACCGGCUAACUCCGUGCCAGCAGCCGCGGUAAUACGGAGGGUCCAAGCGUUAUCCGGAUUUAUUGGGUUUAAAGGGUACGUAGGCGGAAUAUUAAGUCAGUAGUGAAAGCCCAUCGCUUAACGAUGGAACUGCUAUUGAUACUGAUAUUCUUGAAUAUAGUUGAAGUAGGCGGAAUACGGCAUGUAGCGGUGAAAUGCAUAGAUAUGCCGUGGAACACCAAUCGCGAAGCAGCUUACUAAGCUAUUAUUGACGCUAAGGUACGAAAGCGUGGGGAGCGAACAGGAUUAGAUACCCUGGUAGUCCACGCUGUAAACGAUGAUUACUCGGUGCUGGCGAUACAAUGUCAGUGCCCAAGCGAAAGUGAUAAGUAAUCCACCUGGGGAGUACGAUCGCAAGGUUGAAACUCAAAGGAAUUGACGGGGGCCCGCACAAGCGUGGAGCAUGUGGUUUAAUUCGAUGAUACGCGAGGAACCUUACCUGGGCUUAAAUGCAUAAUGACAGACUGGGAAACCAGUCCUUCUUC